UUUGCCAUUUAAGGUAUAUGUCUCUUGUGCUCUUCCUGGAUUAAGCUGCAAGUGGAAAUAUCAAAAGCAAACUUCUUCUUAUGAGAUUUCUAGCUGAAGUUUUUCAUCAUAUCAGUUUCAAACAAUCUCAAACCAAGAUCUAUUGACAGUGCAGCCAAGAGGAUAUGAGCACCAUCGUUGCCAGGAGGCAUUGGAGAUGGAUUGCCCAGGUGCUUCAGAUGGAAACUGAUUCUAUCCACCAGAGUAGCAAUAAGAUGGACACCUGAAUGCAAGCGAAAACGAGGCUGCCCAAAAAUAACAUGGUGAAGAGCUGUGGGAGCCAAACUGAAAAACCUGGGGAACAGCUGGGGAACCAUUGAAAGACUUGCCAGAAACAGACAGGAGUGGAGGAGUUUCGUCACUGCCCUAAUUGCCAGAGGCAUAAUGAGAACAUGAUGAUGAUUAAGGUCAAAAACCAGGAGUUGCCUUUCUCACAUGAUUCAUGGUAUAUGACCCCACCCUUCAACAACUGUAACUAAGACAGACAAACUAUUUCAUCUGUUCUUUUAUAUGCUACUGGGCACAAAGCCGCCAGGGCAAUGAACCUUAAUAUCUGAACUGUCCAGGAGCGGGCUAGACAGUGCAGAACACCCAUUUCUGAGAAAAUUCAGGACUGGGAGUGUGUUGAGGUCACCCUGCAAGUAAUAACCAAGACUCGUGGAAGCCAGAGUGUGACUGGUGUGUAGCUGGAAAGCUGCUGGGGUCAGGUCUGCUGCACUGAGGCUGCAGCUAUCCACAGACAUUCAGGGUGUGACCUGCAUGAUGUGAGCAGCUCAGAUUGGGAGCUACAACAACAAAGCAUUGUGAGGUACCCAGGAUUGCAGGGCAGGUAGAGAGACAACCCCUCACUGAUCUGGAUCGCAUCCCAGAAUG